UACGUAGGGUGCAAGCGUUAAUCGGAAUUACUGGGCGUAAAGAGCUCGUAGGUGGUUUGUCGCGUUGUUCGUGAAAACUCACAGCUCAACUGUGGGCGUGCGGGCGAUACGGGCAGACUGGAGUACUGCAGGGGAGACUGGAAUUCCUGGUGUAGCGGUGGAAUGCGCAGAUAUCAGGAGGAACACCGGUGGCGAAGGCGGGUCUCUGGGCAGUAACUGACGCUGGAGGAGCGAAAGCGUGGGGAGCGAACAGG
rnacentral:rRNA from 1 species